GUAGUCAUGACCAAGUGGUUAAGAUGAUGGACUAGAAAUCCAUUGGGUUCUCCCUAUGCAAGUUCAAAUCCUUCCCACUACA
rnacentral:tRNA from 1 species